UACGUAGGGUCCGAGCGUUGUCCGGAAUUACUGGGCGUAAAGAGCUCGUAGGUGGUUUGUCGCGUUGUUCGUGAAAACUCACAGCUCAACUGUGGGCGUGCGGGCGAUACGGGCAGACUGGAGUACUGCAGGGGAGACUGGAAUUCCCGGUAUAGCGGUGAAAUGUGUAGAGAUCGGGAGGAACACCGGUGGCGAAGGCGGGUCUCUGGGCAAUUCCUGACGCUGAGGCGCGAAAGCGUGGGGAGCAAACGGG
rnacentral:rRNA from 1 species